UAUUUUGGUUUUAAUUAUCAAUACCUUAACAAUUAAUCCAUUAAUUUAUUAUUAGUUUUUUAAUAAUUUUACAAAUUCUUGUCAAUUUUCCAUUGUUGUGUUAAUUGUUCCGUUGGUUGUCAUUAAGUUUGUAUUAAUUGUGUUUAAUUUUGAUAACAUUGUACAUCAGCCUGUUACACUUAUUACAGUCUUUUGUUGUUACCAGAUUCUUGGCUCGUUUCACUGUUUACAUAUCUGUGAUUACUUUACAAAAUCUUGAUCAAGUGUUGCUUUUGUUUAUUGUGUUUAAUUAAAUAGGCAAAAAAGCAAAAAAAAUGAGACAACUUUGUUAUGAACUUGAUUUGAUAAAGAAAUAACCUUAAAAAAGUUGAAUAAAAGAGAUGUUUUUUUAACAGUUUUGAAAGCAGCUAAAAAACAAGCAACAUUUAUGUAAUUAAUCAUGAGUUGGAUCAACGCUUUUUCAUCCUGCGAGCUUCUUCCUCUCCCUUUCACCCCCUUUUCAUGUGAUUAUCUUAAAAACACAAGACCAAUGUUACAUAUUAUUGUUGAGCUCAUAUCAAAUUAUCAUUAUUUACUUCCGUUGCUUCUUGUAUCAAAGCUUCUUGUUGUUCUCAUCAUCACCAUCACCAUCUCACCAUUUUUCAAGAUUAUUUGUUUUCUUGUUCUUUAUCUUGUUCGUCUUGAUGCUCGGUCUUUCUCUCCUUCGUUGAUGAUAAAUGUAAUUUUAUAAACAUGUUACCACCAUAUCAACUCCCUCAAUGCAAAAACGUUGACCCAAAACAACAUUUAACAACAAAACUGAGCAAAUUCAAAUGAUACUUGGCGAGUUAAUUGACGCACAUCAUUCAUCAACAGUCAACUAGAAUCAUCAGGUAAAUAAAAAAAGAGACUAGGAAAAGAGCUCCUUGAAGAUAAUGAUGAUGAGAGGAAGGAGGGAGUCAGGUUGCAAGAGAUAGACAGAGGGAGUCAAUCUUGUUUGACAAGACAUCACCAUGUCAAGGUAAAUAAACCCAUGAUUAUUUUAGCCUUUUUCACUGUGCUUUAGCCAUUCCCAUUUAGCCAAAACUUUCCAGCCCAUUUUUUAACAAUCAUCAUGUAAUCAUGACUGUUAAUGACUUUUUCAAUGUAAUCAUCUUCAUAUGAGCUUGUCUCUCCCUCUCUCAGCCUCUCUCUCUCUCUCUUGCUGCUUUCACAAAAUUACAUAUAAAUGUAGGACUGAUAGUAAGGCUCAUUAGUGAGGAGCUAAAAAUGAGAUGAAUAAAAAUGAUGAUGAUGAGAGGGAAGAACAGGUAGAUAAAUUAGUGGGCCAAUCAGACUUUUUCAUUUGACAUUUCCCGUGACUUAGAUCAACCUAUCAAAAAGCGUCCAAUAGAUGAUAAGAGUCUAGCGAAAAUAUGACGAGUUGAGGAGUUGAGUAAGCGUGUCCAGUUUUUUGUUUGGUAAUGGGAAAUGGGGAAAACAUGGAUUGACCGUGUUAUCUUCCUUUCUGUCAAAUUUACGUGUCCAGAUUACCAGGGAAGAUGAAGAUGGUGAUGACGAUGACGAUGAUGAGAAAGUAAAUGAAAGAGAGUAAAAGUCGCGUGACCUUGCAUUAUAACCAGAGAGGAGAAGGAAAAAAAACCAGAAAAAAAUGACUUAAAAAUAUCCAAAUUUUUAUGUUGCGUAAAAAAAAUCUGGUUAUCUGGACAAGCUUACACAAACAUUAUUGACUUAUUCUGAUCAAAUAGAUAUGGCGAUUAAAACAUGAAGCAUAACACCUUUGAUCAAACAACGAUUACAGUUUAACAAUUUAUAAAACCAUUCAACUGUGGAUUGUGGGUUUCAUUUGAUCCUCUUAGAGAUGAGGAGACGACGAAUUAAUGACAAGAAAAUGAACUUUAUAUAAGCCAAAUCCAUCUCAUUCAAUUUGAUAUUACACUGAUUAAGGUUGAUCAAUAAAAAAUGUUUACUUGCUACUUGGGUAACAAAUUGAUUUGUAAAAUAAAUUAUUAAAGAUUGUGACCGAUAGACAAUUUAAAACAAAAUAUUGAUCGUCUUUCCCGAAACCCGUUUGUCCAAGAAAAAUUACAGGCAAAACGGAAAUCCAUGAGUAUUUAAAGGAAUGAAAAAUGAAAAAUAUGAACUUGUAAAGGCGUUUGGGAAGAAGUCAUUAACAGGGAGAAGAUAUUGGUCAAGGUUUAAAUCUAUUGACCUCAUCAUCCAAGACAAGCCGGAGGAAGGACGACCAUUGAUAGUUUUGAAAGGCGACUUGAAGGCCAAUCUCGAAGGAAACGUAACUUGUAGGAAACUAGAGCUCGGAGUAACUGUAGCUCAAUAGAGUUUACAUGUCACAACGGAUACAAGAAAUACAUGAAAAUGUUUGUCGUCAACGCAAUGGCUCUUUUUAUUGACAGAUUGAUCACCAGUAAUGAAAAAUGGGUCUUUUAUGACAAUUUCACAAGGUCAUAUGCUUGGUGACCCGGUGAACCUUCGAGGUUAACCCCUAAACCAGGACUACACCAAAAGAAGCUCUUAUUGCUCUUAUUCACUACACAACAACACUAGUUGUAUCUAAAAGCAAACGAGUCCAAAAAUUCACCAACAUUAAGUUUAAUCAACCUUUAAAUAUUUUACUAAUCCUAGGACAUUAAUGCAAUGGACAAUCAGAAUAAACCAGAAAUUCUACCUACUCUCAAAAUACCUGAUACACAGACUUUACCAUGGUCUAAUCAUUGCCAAAAGCUGAAAAAAAUGCUAUUGAGUCACGCUCAUUCAAACCCGACCUGCUCUGGUUUGUUCAGAUAAACAAGAGACCUGAUUGACUUGAUCCCAAAUACAUAAAAACCUUUACCCUCAACAUUUCCCUCUUUUUUAUGCUCUUUCAUACUUUAUUAUUUUCUCAACUUGACUCACCUCCUUAAAUUCAUGAAAACUCAAAUUUCCACUUAUGUGAUUACAUAAAGCUAUCAUGAUUCGGUGAAGCGCCUACAAGCUCAUCCUGUAAACCCCCUUUAAGCUAAUAAAAGUUACCGGCGUUUUGA